GAGAAAAAAUAUUUCUUAGUUAAUUUGAGACUAUUUCCUUCUAUGUGUUCAAUGAAAGAUAUUUAUCAAGAAUUUAUUGAUUUCUAGUGUUCUCUAGAGAACUGUAUAUUACCGUCUGUAAAAGCAUCCCUUUGCAUGGUCUCGAUUAUGGAACGAUGAUGACUCUUUUUUUUGUUUCUUGAUGCUCACUGAUGGUCAAAAGGCAUUUGAAGUCUGAGUCCAACUAUGCAAACAGGCUGUCUUGCAAAUAGAAUUAUCUCUGUUAGCAUGUUACCCUAAAUAUUUUUAGUAUCCAUACAUAGUAUACAUAGUAUCCAUAACAUGUUCAACACCUUGCUUGCUCCUGGAUUAAAGUAUUUGUGAAAAACCAUGCUACAUCUGUUUGGGAUCAGUGAUUUUAGACGUACACUGAUGAAACUUUAACAGAUUAAUAAAAUUUAAAGGUAUCUCAGCUUUCCUUGAUCGCAGGCUUAAUAUUAGACAUCUACAUCCUCUAGUUUUAAAUCUCGCAAGAAUUAAGUUUUUCAGUAGUUCAUUUAAUUUUCUACACACUUUCAGGAAGCAUUUGUUCUCCAAAGGAUUAGUGAGUUGCAGCGUGAUGGUCUGUGGGCGGAGAAACGGUUACCAAAAGUUUCAGAACCUCAACGAGUCAAAGCUCACUGGGAUUAUUUGCUAGAGGAGAUGGUCUGGUUAGCAGCUGAUUUUGCUCAAGAGCGCAAGUGGAAGAAAGCUGCAGCUAAAAAAUGUGCAAGGAUGGUCCAGAAACACUUCAAGAGAAAGAAAUGGCAGCUCAGAAACAGGCCAAAGCUGCAGAGCUCCAAUUAAAAAGAUUGCCAGUUUUAUGGCAAAAGAAGUAAAAACUUUCUGGGCAGAUAUAGAAAAGUUGGUAGAAUUCAAACAGAAAACUAAGUUAGAAGAAAAACGAAAGAAGGCUCUGGACCAACAUCUCAGUUUCCUUGUCGAUCAAACAGAAAAAUUUCAUCAUGGUUGCCGAAAGUAUGAAUAAAUCAUCAAACAGCAAUGCAGCCACACCACUCUUCAGUCUGCUGCAUCAUCCCGACCGUCCACCCCUUUACAAGCUGGUGAAUCAGAUGGUGAGUUUGAACCCAACCAAAGCUCAGAUGACGAUGAAGAAGAAACAAUCGCCAAAGCAGAACAAGAAGAAGUUGUUGACCACUCAAAAGAGACAUGCUCAAGCAAGAAUCAGAGCUUCCUCUCGAAGACCUCUUGAAAUCACUUCCAAAAGACUAUUUAGCCAACCGUCACAAAAAUUGUCCUCAGAAUCAGUGAGUAUUCUUUCUUGUGGUGUGAAAUUUCUCAUUUGUUGAUGACAUAUAAAGUAUUGUAAAGCUAGUCAGAAAAAUG
rnacentral:lncRNA from 1 species